rnacentral:rRNA from 1 species
UACGGAGGGAGCUAGCGUUGUUCGGAAUUACUGGGCGUAAAGAGCUCGUAGGCGGUUCGUCGCGUCGGCUGUGAAAUCCCGAGGCUCAACCUCGGGUCUGCAGUCGAUACGGGCGGACUGGAGUUCGGCAGGGGAGACGUGGAAUUCCUGGUGUAGCGGUGAAAUGCGCAGAUAUCAGGAGGAACACCUGCGGCGAAGGCGGGUUGCUGGGCUGAUACUGACGCUGAGGCGCGAAAGCCAGGGAGCGAACGGG